rnacentral:rRNA from 1 species
AACGAACGCUGGCGGCAUGCCUAACACAUGCAAGUCGAACGAGACCUUCGGGUCUAGUGGCGCACGGGUGCGUAACGCGUGGGAACCUGCCCUUAGGUUCGGAAUAACUCCCCGAAAGGGGUGCUAAUACCGGAUAAUGUCUUCGGACCAAAGAUUUAUCGCCUUUGGAUGGGCCCGCGUUGGAUUAGCUAGUUGGUAGGGUAAAAGCCUACCAAGGCGACGAUCCAUAGCUGGUCUGAGAGGAUGAUCAGCCACACUGGGACUGAGACACGACCCAGACUCCUACGGGGGGCAGCAGGGGGGAAUAUUGGACAAGGGGCGAAAGCCUGAUCCAGCAAUGCCGGGGGAGUGAUGAAGGCCUUAGGGUUGUAAAGCUCUUUUCCCCGGGAUGAUAAUGACAGUACCGGGAGAAUAAGCUCCGGCUAACUCCGU